UGCCAGCAGCCGCGGUAAUACGGGGGGUCCGAGCGUUAAUCGGAAUUACUGGGCGUAAAGGGUCUGUAGGUGGUUUGUUAAGUCAGAUGUGAAAGCCCAGGGCUCAACCUUGGAACUGCAUUUGAUACUGGCAAACUAGAGUAUAGUAGAGGAAUGGGGAAUUUCUGGUGUAGCGGUGAAACGCGUAGAUAUCGGAAGGAACACCAGUGGCGAAGGCGACUUCCUGGGCCAAUACUGACGCUGAGGUGCGAAAGCGUGGGGAGCAAACAGGAUUAGAUA
rnacentral:rRNA from 1 species